rnacentral:rRNA from 1 species
UCUUGAACGCAAAUGGCGGCCUCGGGUCCAUCCCGAGGCCACGCCCGUCUGAGGGUCGGCG